rnacentral:rRNA from 1 species
UUUUCGUAACCAAGGUUUUCCGUAGGUGAACCUGCGGAAGGAUCAUUG